rnacentral:rRNA from 1 species
ACUGACGCUGAGGCGCGAAAGCGUGGGGAGCGAACAGGAUUAGAUACCCUGGUAGUCCACGCGGUAAACGAUGAAUGCUAGGUGUUGCGGGUAUCGACCCCUGCAGUGCCGGAGUAAACACAAUAAGCAUUCCGCCUGGGGAGUACGGCCGCAAGGUUGAAACUCAAAGGAAUUGACGGGGGCCCGCACAAGCAGCGGAGCAUGUUGUUUAAUUCGAAGCAACGCGAAGAACCUUACCAGGUCUUGACAUCCGAUUAAAGCCAUAGAGAUAUGGUGUACCUUCGGGAGAAUCGAGACAGGUGGUGCAUGGUUGUCGUCAGCUCGUGUCGUGAGAUGUUGGGUUAAGUCCCGCAACGAGCGCAACCCUUAUGGUCAGUUACUAACACGUAGCGGUGAGGACUCUGACAAGACUGCCGGGGACAACUCGGAGGAAGGUGGGGACGACGUCAAAUCAUCAUGCCCCUUAUGACCUGGGCUACAAACGUGCUACAAUGGUGACUACAAAGAGGAGCGAGACCGUAAGGUGGAGCGGAUCUCAAAAAAGUCAUCCCAGUUCGGAUUGUGGGCUGCAACCCGCCCACAUGAAGUUGGAGUGCUAGU